GAUGAACGCUGGCGGCGUGCCUAAUACAUGCAAGUCGAGCGAACAGACGAGGAGCUUGCUCCUCUGACGUUAGCGGCGGACGGGUGAGUAACACGUGGAUAACCUACCUAUAAGACUGGGAUAACUUCGGGAAACCGGAGCUAAUACCGGAUAAUAUAUUGAACCGCAUGGUUCAAUAGUGAAAGACGGUUUUGCUGUCACUUAUAGAUGGAUCCGCGCCGCAUUAGCUAGUUGGUAAGGUAACGGCUUACCAAGGCAACGAUGCGUAGCCGACCUGAGAGGGUGACCGGCCACCUUGGAACUGGGAAACGGCCCAAACUCCUACGGGAGGCAGCAGUAGGGAAUUUUCCGCAAUGGGCGAAAGCCUGACGGGGCAACGCCGGGGGAGUGAUGAAGGUUUUCGGAUCGUAAAACUCUGUUAUUAGGGAAGAAAAAAUGUGUAAGUAACUAUGCACGUUUUGACGGUACCAAAUCAGAAAGCCACGGCUAACUACGU
rnacentral:rRNA from 1 species